rnacentral:rRNA from 1 species
AUGGCUAGUAAUUGGAGUUUCAGACAAUUUGGGGAGGUGAUUUGUAGCCAAUAUCCUUGGGGUUUGCUUGAUGAAGUGGUAUACAAAUACUAUGAUGGGGAAAAGAAAUGGGUGACAGUUAGUAAUGAUGAAGAGCUAGCUACCAUGUUUGUUAGGCAUAAAGAGAAAUAUAAUUUUCAUGUGAGGCUGCAAGUUGAUGUGCUUGAGCAGGCAUUUGGACCUAGGAUGACGGGUGCAACAUCUCGGGGAGAACCAAGUCGUCGUAAUGGCAUCUCUAGCCAGAACAGUUCAGUUGGUGCACGACAACGUGGUGGCUCGACAAGUGUGGGCAACAGCAGUAGGGUCCCCCUUGAAGUGGAGCCUGAUGACUACAAUUCCGGGGUUGAUGAAGAGAAGCUAUAUUCUGAUGUUAUUCGGAAUUUACGACUGGCACCUCGGGCUGAAAACCAAGAUGAGGCUCACAAUGCAGUCCGUGUGGAUGAUGACGCGGUGGGUGAGGACAAAGACCUUGCAGCUGUUGAAUGGGACCCUUUGAACCCUCAUAUGGAAGAAGGUACAGUUUUUGCAUCCAUGAAUGAGUGUACAAAUGCACUUGUGACAUACUGCAUCAAGGUAGAAUGUACUUUCAAAGUUGACAAGAGCGAUCAAGUACGUUACAGAGUGCACUGUCCGACUGAGGGUUGUCCAUGGAGUCUGCUUGCAUCUAAAAUGCGAAAUAGCACUAAUGUUUAG